AUGACGAGCAAGAUGAACAAAUACUUCAGAAAAUGGCCCCUGACCCACUGGGCUCUUCACCCUCUUGCAGAAGCCUGCCAGGAAUUGAUUUCAGCAGCAAAUGCCAGAAGAUGGAUCAGGCUCAUCCCUUUCACCUCACUUAGCGGAGCUACAGAUGUUAUUCAUAUUCAUCACAGUGUCCAGCUCUUUGACAAAAGUACAGAGUUCCUUGGCUCAAUAAAAAUCAUAUGUCAUCGAGUUUCCUGGGUUAAGUGCAUGCUACUUAGAAAAGCAUUUCCCUUUGUCUUUUUGUUUGGUAAGAUGUUUGGAGACCUCCAACAUCUGCAUAUCAGUUGCAGCCUCCACUCUUGCCAAACGCCCUCUUGCCUCUACUUCGUUCUCCAAGGUGCUCACUCACGUUGCUCAGCUCUACAUGUUGCUGUCUUUUGGCAGUUCUCAAUGUUUCCCUGAACUCAGUGAAAUGUAGAUACUCUCUACCCAAAGUGCAGAAUGUUGGGAGCAGAAGGAGGAGGCAGUGUAGCUUCACACAGUUUUAUUAUUUCCUGCCCUUGGUCUCAAUUCCAAAAGCUGAAGAUUAUUUCCAAAUGUGCCCUGCAGCCAAUCCCAUCAUUACACGGAUAUUAGGUCCUACAACCCAGCAUUGUGGCUUAGGCAUCUCUGUGCCUCAUGAGACCGUGUGUGGGUUAAGUUUUGACAUUAAAAAAAAAAAAACAACCUUGUAGAACUGAUUGAAAACAUACACAGUGUGGCAGGGCAUGCGUGUGGAUCUCAGGCUGUGGCUUCAUCGAUCUGAACAGAAAACAUGAGCCUCUGGUACUACCAAAAAAUCACUUAAAAAAUAGACACCUUUUAAAAUUCUUCUUUCUAUCCAUCUCUAUCCACAUAAAUUAGUUUGAAGGAACAUCAGAGUUUACCUGUAAAAAUUAUGCUUUGGAAAACAGAUAUCUCAACCGUUUGCAGUGAAAUCAAAGGCAUCAUUGAAUAAUGUAGUGACUUACACUACUCAAAGAAAAUCCAGUUGCUAGGUAAAAAGAGAGAAGGUAAAGAUCAUGUUACUAUUUUCCCCUGUUAUUUAGAGAUUGAAGCAAAAUAAACAUACACAGUGAGAGGUCUGAGUGAAAGCGAUGAGCAGAGUAAGAUCAUGCCUGGAAGCUUUUCUUAGUCUAAAUUUAACAGGUGCUGCUCUAAGUUUAUCAGAUGUACCAGUUUGUUGGAUGACUGUCCUGUUGCCAGAGUGAUUCCCAUUCUCUCCCCUUUGUUUCCAUGCUGCCCUCUGGAUCACCGCACACAUGUACACACAAGCACAUACACACACCACGCAUGCACACAUAUGCACCUGAGUACACAUGCACACACAGGCAUAUAAACACAUGCACAUACACUCUUUUCUUCUUUACUUGAUGUUAUCAUCCCUGAGGAACUUUCCCUGACUGUCAAAGGAUGGGCUUAGAUGCCCUUAUUUUAUGCUUCUCUAACAGUCUGUUCACAUCUCUCUCAGAGCAUUUACUUCACUGUAUUGCUCACUCCUCUCCAUAGAUUAAAAACUUUGUGAAGCCAGGAAACACAUUUCACUGUUAUCAGCUUCUAGGUCUAGGUUAGCUCCUAACACAUGGUACUUUUUCAGUUAAUGCUGAACUGAAUGAACUAGAAGUCUGUAAUCAUCCUAAAAAGGAUUUCUCUGGGAAUACUUUCAAGAGCACUAAAAAAAGAGGGUCAAGACAUUGGGACUAUCUAAGUCAAUUAUUGGUGUGUAGUCAGUCCAGUGGUUAUGAGCCAGGCUCUGAAAUCAGCAGACCUAUUUUCAACUUUUCACAGUGUCGAGCAAGGUACUUAACCUCUCUAAAGCCCAAUUUUCUCUUUUAGAAAUAAGAAAUAAUAAAGUUGUCUACUCUGUAAAUUGUUGUAAGUCUAAAAUGGAAUAAUCAUAUGAAGUACAGUAGCCUUCAAUGCUAUAAUAGCUGAGAUGGUGAUAGAGAUUGAUUGCCUUUAUAUUAGAGAUGAUGCCGCUCCAUCACCAGGGUAUGUAAAUACAAAGUGGGGAUUUUUGUCUUUUUUUUUUUCAUUCUUUGCCAUUAGAGAAGGUGCCUAGAAAGUUUCUGGUAUAUAGAAGGCGCACAAUCAAUUAUUUGUUGAAUAACUAUGUAAAUAUGGGGUUUUCUCCCAGGAAUGACAAUGGAUGAUACAGCUUCAUCCACACUCUCUGGCUCUUCUGAUUAUUUGCAAGAUAACUGGCUGCAUAUUUAUCAUAGACUGUAUAGUAAUCAAACCUGAUGUUUGAACUACCUAAAAUUUUAGCUUCUUGACCUAAUUAGUUGAGUAUAUCAGUAAACAAAAGAAUGAAAUGGUGAAUUUAGGAGAUAAAAAAAGGAAGGCUGAAGACAUAUUCUUUCUUGAAAAUCUAUCAGACCUGGAAGGAAAACCAUGUGUGGAAGUGACCCGGAGGAAGCUGAGGGAUACGCGGAGUGACCUGCAGAGGCCCCUUUCAGCACUAAUGACCCGUGAAGGAGAUUUACAGACCCGCAUGAAUUGACCCCAAGCAGGCCUUGGCUUGCUGCUUUUCUCCCAUGUUGGCCGGUGUUCUCACUUCAGUCACUACAGCAGCUCCUUCCAACCCUGCCCUGCCCUCAGUCUCUGCUGCUGGAAAUGACCACUGGCCCCUGGCCCAGAGGGCGUGGCUGGCACCGUGGAAGCGGGGUUUGCCUGACUUCCACAUAAACGCAGCAGCUGGGCAAUACACACAACCUGAGCGGAGCUGCAUUGGUUUUACGGACAGGCCUCCCGUGUGAAAUUUGACUUUCCCUCUUUGCUGACUUGGCCAGGUUAGCCGUGGUCACUGCUGGAUCACAGGAAGCACAUAUUUGCUACAAAGUCCCUUUGGAGACCCACAUGGCCCUCAGAUGAGCAAUAAUCCAGAUUUCUGACUUUAUUUUUUUUUCUUUGCCAUGGGAAUAAGAGUGCUUCUCUGCCAAGCAACAUAUUUUAGGCUUUUCUUUUGGCUGCUCCUGCAGGGAAGCUCAAGGGCCUGGUGAUUUUUUUUUUCACUGCAUCAAGGAGAAUCUGUGGAGCCUUUUGUGAAAAGGAAGGGAAAAUAUGCUUCAUGCACCUAAUUGACCUGUCUCGUCCAGUGAAAUAAGUUUUCCUGACAAAGUUGAAUUCAUUAUUUCUUGAUAGGGGUGGUAGGACAUGUGAGAAGAAAGUAAUGGGUUAUUUGAAUCAUUCUAGCCACACCUCUUAAUAAAAAAAUAAACUAUGUUGUGCAAAUAUUUUGUAGAUCACAGCAUCUAUUGGCAGCUACAUGCUAUUUUUCCUCUUGAAUAAAAGGGAAAACAAAAAAGUGACAGACUCCUGGGGGCUGGUAUUAUUUUGGUUGUGAUGAGUCACAAAGCCUGGGCAGUCUUUGCUGAUUCAGGACAAGGCCCCGGUGGUCGUGGAGGCAGCAAGAGUCAUUCUCCCACCUUUUUGCCCGUGACAAAGAAGGAAAUCGGGAGGGUGUCGACUUAAACAGUCCUCGUAUUGAGACUACUAGAAAGUAUGAAAGAAUGUGGGGCUGGUGGUUGUUCAUUAGCACGUGGAUCAAGGGAGAGCACUGACACAUUCAGAGGCCAAAAGCCAGACCUAGCCAAAAAGAAAAAGAAAAAGAAUGGCAAAAAAGUGAAUUCAUCAAAAGCCUGGGCAUAGCAGCUUGUCUAGAAAUAAGGAUAAGAGAAAGGAAAGGGAAAAGUGAUAAUAAGGUGAAAAUUGAGGAACAUUUUUGAAAAAUCGUGGGUAACAAGAGCAAAAUUGAUGACGUCAAUUUAAGAGAAAUGUGAAUGAAACAUAGAAACGAGGCUAAAAAAGAGGAAGAUUAACAAGAAGCAAAGCUGAAGUACUGUUGGGGGUGCUUGUGUGGUUUAAAAACACACCUUAGAUAUAAUAAACAAGAUUUGUCAAGUCUCAAGUAAAAGAAACAAAAGAGGGGCUCUUGGUGUUUGUUAAAAUACAUUUCAAACUGCCUUCCCCAGGCUGAGUUCAGAGAGGCAGGGGGCGCUCUUCCUGGUCUCCCUUCUAUUCAGUGCUUCUACCUUAGUCUCUCCAGCUUCUAGUUAACCUUUAUUUUCUAAUUAGCAACUUCUUUUUAUGGCCCCCUCUUAUGGGGCUACCGGCCUAUGUGUGCAAGUAUGGUCACAUGUACAUUAAGCUCUGGUUCCCCCACAAACCUUCCACUUGUCUUCACAGGGUCUCCUGGGGAUGUCCUGGAAAGUUGGUCCAACACAAUGUCUCUCUGACAGCAACCCUAUCUUUUUAUUCUUUUUCUGUACACGUUUGUGUGCCAAAUGGAUGCUCAGUACCAAAGCCCUCCUUAUGAAACUGGCCCUAUUUUCUCAUAAAGCUGAUGUUUAUGGCUUUUUUGGGAAAAAACAUAGAAAUUGACCCUCUUGGUCUUAAAAGUUGAAA
rnacentral:lncRNA from 1 species